rnacentral:lncRNA from 1 species
UUUGUUGUUAACUGACUUGCCAAGUUAAAUAAAGGUUAAAUAAAUAAAUAUGUCUGCUAGUGUGUUGAAUAGUAGGCGAUUCCAAAAUAAUAGGAGAAGGCUAAACACAGAGCUGAUCAUAAGUGGAGAAAUACAUGUUUGAUAACCAGUAUAUGAUUGGAAAUAUAUGCACAAUUAUAAUCCUAUCGUUUAUUUCGCCUUCAUUACCCAUUUACACACGGUUUACAGGUCACGACUCUUAUGWUGAAGGAUUUUUCAACCCAACGUGACGUCACCCGGAAGUUAUUCCUUAGCUGGCGUCAAAUAGUUUUCCACCGAUAUUCUCAUCCCAACAAACAAAUUAUUUCAGGUAGCUAGGAAAUUCGUUUAAAUGUGUUUUACAUUUUCAUUUGGUACUUUAAUGAGUUAUUUAAAUAACGCAUGGCUCAGACAAACUCUAGAGUCUUUUAAGAGUGUUUGUUAUCCUAGCUUGUAAGCUAGCUAACGUUACACUUACCAUUGUCUUGGGUUGGAAAGUGACGGCAGCUCAAUAGCCCACCAUGUCUGAACCGGGUUCUGGGUGAGGCGUUCCAGUCCAGAGAAGCUCACAACAGGGUCCAGAGGUGGUGUCAGUGAAGCUGGAGGACUGCGGUCAAACACUGGAYCUCAAUGUGAUUGUGAAAGAGGAGGAGAAUGGAGAGGUUAAAGAAGAAAAGCGCYGAAAUCAAAGAAGAUAAGGAAGAGGGGGAGAAGAGAGAGGUCCAAAACGAAGAGGAGAGAAAUGCUGAUAUGGCUCCUCCAGGAGAGAGCUCCAACUCAGGCUCACUCAGCGAGCCCAGUACCACAGUAUCAGGAAACCACCAACAACACYGAGGGAGGAACUCAAGGCAGAAACAUCACCACUGCUUGGACUGCUUCACUCGUUUCUGUGAGCCAGAGGAGUUGAGAAGACACACUUGUAAAAACCGCAGCCACGGUGUAACAUGUCCUCCCAAAYGGAAAAAGACCUCCAGCUCCUUCUCACCAAUCCUCCCACCAAUCCUCCCACAUCAUCGUGUCAGCUAUUGGGGAUCCUAGUAAACAUAAAUGUUGCAGGAGGAGAAACUCCAGAUAAAAAGUCUUGGUCCCCCACCAGCCACCUGAUGUAGAAAUAUCACUUCCUCAACACAGAACAAAAGGAAAGGACCCGUUCRUUCAACCCCUCGUGGUUCCAUAAGAAAUCGUGGCUGACGGCGUCUCCAAAAAAAACCUUUGCUGCUUCCCGUGCCUUUUAUUCGGCAAAGACUUGGUCAACGGUGGGUUUCAAGGACCUGAAGCACCUCUCCGAAAGGCUUUCGAAACAUGAGAGUUGUUGUACUCAUCUGGAAAACGGCAUGAAACUGGGAUUUCUAGGGAAGACUAACGCYGCUGGUCAGCUGGUCGGCGUAAACCCAAGCUCCCAUUGAGAUACACAACAGACAAACGGAGGAGAG